CCUACGGGUGGCUGCAGUGAGGAAUAUUGGUCAAUGGACGAGAGUCUGAACCAGCCAAGUAGCGUGAAGGAUGACUGCCCUAUGGGUUGUAAACUUCUUUUAUAAAGGCAUAAAACGAGGCACGUGUGCCUUUUUGCAUGUACUUUAUGAAUAAGGAUCGGCUAACUCCGUGCCAGCAGCCGCGGUAAUACGGAGGAUGCGAGCUGUAUCAGGAUUUAUUGGGUUUAAAUGGUGCGUAGACGGGCUAUUAAGUAAGCGGUAAAAAUUCGGGGCUCAACCCCGUCCGGUCGUUGAAACUGGGGGCCUUGAGUGGGCGAGAAGAAGGCGGAAUGCGUGGUGUAGCGGUGAAAUGCAUAGAUAUCACGCAGAACCCCGAUUGCGAAGGCAGCCUUCCGGCGCCCUACUGACGCUGAGGCACGAAAGUGCGGGGAUCGAACAGGAUUAGAUACCCCUGUAGUC
rnacentral:rRNA from 1 species